CGAGGGCUGCGGGCCGUCCCGCCGCGAGCUCCGUCGCCUCCGAGUCCGAGUCACUUAUCCCGGCCCAACAUGGCGGCGGGGUCUGGGGCGGCUUCCCGAGGCGGCGCCGGCUGAGGGGGCGUGAGGAGGAGGCGCUUCUCCCCGCAGAGAGCAGGCCCGCGGCGCCCCUCCGCACGCGCGGACCCUGGGCCGCUGACUCGGCUGCCGCGGAGGUGGAGUCGGGGUCGCGGAUGUCGCCCUCGCUCUGUCCCGCCGAGGGCUCGGGGCUUUGUCUUUGGGGGGAGAGGACAGGGUUGAGUGUUUUGGGUUGGCUGAGUGCGUCUCAGGACCAUGCUGGCGCACCCUUUGUCGUCGAUGGUGAAAUCUUAGCCCAGCCGCGAGAGCCGGGGGGCGUUCCUAACGCCCUCCUCACCGUCCGGAUCGCCGUCCCCACUCUCGCGUCUGGCCUCCUUCCGAGUCAGGGAUCCUGUCCCAGCCCGAGGAGCUUCCUGUUGACUAAAAUGAAACUAAAGCCCAGAGGAAGUAAGUAGGUUGGCCAAGGCCUCCCAGGUGAUAGGCUCUCUCCACAGGACGAGAAAGGGGAUCACCAGAAGCUUCAGUUGCACUUUCAGCUUAACAACCCCAGGGACAGAUCCUGACGUGCCUCAUGCAGACUCCUUCCCAUCAGUGUGUGCAGGUGCAAAGGACUGAGGCUGAAAGAACACCUGUCUUCUGGGACAGCAAGAAAGAAAAAACAAAAGAGAGAAAGGACAACAGUGGAAACUCCUGUUGACUCUUGACGCUUUGGUCUGAAAUUGGAGUAAUUUACGUCUAUCAUGUUUCUUUGGCUCCCAUAAGUCAUGUGGCUGAGUCAGGCAUCACUGAGGUGGGGAGAUAUUAUCCUCCCAGAGUGAGGGGCAGCAAAUAUUUUGAACAGACAAUACAAUAUAGCAUAACUUCCUUUAUGGAAAGGGAAAUCUCUAUCACUGAAUUGAAAUUUUGUUGGUUUGAUAAAUCUUUUCAAAACUCUGCAAGUUUUCUCAGGGUAGGAAAGCAGAACUUAUACUAAGGGCCUACAAUAUGGCAAUUGCUUUAAAUAUACUGUGUUAUAUAAUUAUACUGAUUAUAUAAGGUGUAUAUUAUUAUAACCAUUUUACCGAUAUAGUAACUGAG
rnacentral:lncRNA from 1 species